GCCCAUGUGGCUCAGUGGAUGAGCAUUGGUCUAUGAACCAGGAGGUCAGGGUUCGAUUCCUGAUAGGGGCA
rnacentral:tRNA from 1 species